ensembl:lincRNA Gm20515 predicted gene 20515
GGAAAACCUGCCAGUGAUGGAGAGUUCCUGAAGAAAUUUUUGUUGCUGGACUGAUUAACUCAGCGGACAGACGGUCUGUGGGAACUCUGUCUCUGGGAAUCUGAUGAUCAUGUGGCCGGGAUGACGACUGGGCAAGUAUGGAGACUUUAGUGGGUGGGGUUUCCUCCGUUGAGUUUCUUUCAGAUUGCUGCAGAAAGCCCUCAGCAUUGGGACACAAAGAGAGGUUUGGAUGCUCUGGGAGGACCUUUCACUGUCUCAAACUGUCUCUUAACAGCAGCCUUUCAGUUCUGCCUCACUUACGGUUUCUCUGGGUAAGUCAUCACUCCUUUGAGAUGUGGCAUCAUCAGUGUGUGCGGGAUAUGCCUAAGGAAAUUGUUCCCCCCUGAGGUCACUGACAGACAGGACGUACAGGAUCAGGAUCUUGAGCUCAGGGCCUCAAGACUGAAUGGAGGUUGCCUAAGGCUUGUGAUAAUAGGCUCUCUGUGUCUGAUGGUUGGAAAUGGCUUACCUCUGGCCAUCAUUUUCAAUACCUCAGAAACCUGUUUCCCACCCACAGAGACAGGAUAAGAAAACACUACAGAGAUGCCCAGGGAUGACCUAGAAAUUGUUGCGAAUGCAUCUCCCCAUCUCUUUAGUGGCAGCAACUUCUGUCUUUGUCUCUUUAGCUUCUUUAGUCACCUCUCUAUCUUCUACUUGGAAAAAUGACCCUAUGUGCAUUGCUGUGAUUCUGACUACUGUUUUCUUAGGAGCCAGCUUCCACUAUUUCCUCAAGUGGACAACAAACUGAAACUGUAGGCAACAGGUUUUUAGCCCAGUACACAGGCUUCUGGAACUCUCUUUCAUUCUUUUGAGAGCAAAGGCUGUAGGAGGCCAUGAGCUAGAAUUAUAUCGCUCAGCUGAGGUAAGCAAACUGGGCCAUGCAGAUGCCCAGUCCAUCCGGUCUGUUUAUAGCAUAUGUACAUGCAUACAUACACGUAUGCAUAUAUACUUACACACAUAUGGGAUAGAUAGGUACAUACAAACAGAUGAUAGACAGUAGACAGAUGAUGGGUGGGAGGUGCAUGACGCAUGGUGAUGCAGACAGAUUAACAUGAAUGCCCUGUGUUUAUAUUCUCACCACCUGAAUAGGUAACUCUGGCCAGUCCACUCCUAGUGUUUAACUCUCCAAAGUUCUACUAGUUCCAAAGCCCAGAGUUUGUCCCACAGAAUACAGAACUUGACAGUGCUGUAGGAGUCAAGAAUGAGCCACAAACAACACGUGCUCAGCAAGCAGCAAAUGCUUGCAAGUGGUUACGGACUCCACAGCAUUUGACAUUACUUUGUUAGGGUUCCCUGUCCUUGUAUUGUCACAGCAAUACGAGAAAACGUGUAUUGAUCAUGCACGUGGCUCCCUCUUUUAUCAAUGAACUUUGACUACAAUUUCAAAGUUGUACUUUCUAGGUAAAGACUGCAAAUGAAUUUCACACUGCCUGGUGUUAUCCGUGGAGCAGGUCUGAUGUCACCCAGGGCUUAUGACACCCUAAAGGUACCUGGUCCUUACUUGGCACAAAGCACAUACAUAUAUCAUUGAGCUUGUUUGCAUAUUUUCACAAUGACCAAGCUGGACUUUUUUAAGUUUUCUGUGUAUGGGUGUGGGCAUACAUGUAUGCAUGUUUUGUGGACAUGUGUGUGGAGGCAUUGUUGUUGUCCAAUGUCUUCCUCAAUCGCCAUCUAUCUUACUUUUUGAGAUAAGGCCUAUUCACUGAAAUUGGAACUCAAGGAUUUGCUGGCCAGUCAGCUCCAGAGAUUCCUGCCCCCCAUUCAAGGAUCUGGCAUGCACCCCCAAACCUGGCUUUUUACACAACAUUAGAAGGCCUAAUUCAAGUCAGAAAGCACUUUAUUGAUGGAGUCAUCUUCCCACGCCUAAGUCCUAUCCUUUGUGUCUUGAGUAGUCUAAUCAGUGUAAAGUUAAACUGUUAAUUCACAGAAGUAUGUUUAUCUCUGAGCAACACUUUAUUUUCUCCUGCUAUAGAGGUAUCAACCGGGAGAAAGACUGUAAAAGACAAAUGUGAUAUUUCCUCCUGCAAAGGGUUUUGUUUUGACAGCAGCUGAUGAGCUUUGAGGAACAAGUUCACACUCUUCAGCUCUGUGUCUUAAGCAUCACCACCACUGUCCAUCAUUUCGCUGUUGCUAUGGUAACACAACCCUGGCAGAAGCAGCUUAACGGGGACUUUAUUUUGGCGCACAGUUUCAGAGGGACAAAACCCAUCAUGCAUGGAAGACAUGGGGGCAGAAGCAAGAGACAAGCCAAUCAUAUUGCAUCUACACUCAGGAUGUGGGGCCAGACACAGAGCUUCAAAGCCUCACCCCCAACACUAGUGGCUUACUUCCUUUUCCCUAGGCUUUCCCCUCUAAAGGCUCCACAAUCUUGCAAACAGCUCCACCAAGUGGAGAAGAAGUGUUCAAACAUGCAAGUCUCUGGGGGACAUUUCACUUCCAAACCACAGCAGUCAAUAAGGGGCACCAUUUCCCAUGCAGUGCUGCCUUCCUGCUGACACUCAGCAUCAAAACAUACAUGUGGCGGGCCCUUCAUCAUUGUGUACCCUCAGCACGACAUCCGAGCCAUGCAAGCAGCUAAGUCUCUCCGAAGUCACAAGGGGCCAGAGGAUGUAAUCCACUCUCCCAGUGCCUCUUGUGACCCAAUGACCACUGCUUUAGGAGGUAAGCUACCUGUAAUUUUCUUUUAGAAUUAAAAUAGUAGAUUUCGCUUCCUCUCCAUGCCAGGUAGCUGUUAUUUUCACGUUUUAGCUAGAUUUAAGAAAAACACCUGAAAGCCUUAUAGAUUUUCCACUGUUACCCACUCCCUGCGUCCCUUAAAUAAAGAAGCCCAUAAUUGAUUAAUGAAAAGCCAAGUCAUUUUGGUAUUAAUACAAUCCCCUGGGUGGGCCUCUAAUCACACCUGGCAGGCCUGUAACAGCAUCGCUCUGUUACACGUCCAGGUUAAAAACCUGCAAAUCAACACAGCCCACAAGGAGAUUUUCAGUAUUUCCAAUCUGAUAAUCCAUGAUAAAUGCCUGCCAGAGGUUGGUCAGAGCCCAGGCCCUUUAGGAUUUUAAGCCUCUCUGCUUGUUAACAAUGUUUAUACCUGAGUAUUCAAAGUUGGUACCCAUUUACACGAAUAUGCCUAACACACGAGUGUUGCAAAUGCAGAAUUAAAAUACCACAUUAUCUCAUUUCUCCAUGAAAACAUAGUUGGAUAUUUGGCAGGGUCCUUCAGGUGGCUCUGCAUGAACCUCAGACAGAGCCACCUCUGAUGAGCAGAGUCAUUUCUGUGACUGAGUAUGUCAGUCUAUGCAGCCUUUGUGUGAGCAGGUGGACCAGUGUGGGAGUCCACUCUCACUCCUCCUCCCUAGGGCCCAAAACAUAUCCAGUCACAGGCAACACAAAAAUAUAAAUAUUAAUCUCAGGCUGGUGAGAGGGCUCAGUGGUUAGCAGUGCUUGCUGCCAAGCCUGAAGACCCAACCUUGAUCCCUGGACCUUCAUGGUAAAAGGAGAAAAUUGACUCUGGCAAGCUGUCCUCUGACACCCCCAUGCACACCACAGCACACACACACACACACACACACACACCAACACUGAGUAAACAAAAGCAACAAAACUUUUGUUGCUUUUGGAAAACAAGGGUGUCAUGGAAGAACAGGAGGCUACUUAACUGCACCUUUAGAAGGAAUCUUCCAGAAGGCACUGCUCAGUGUGAGUUCUUAUAGUGAUUGAUCUUGACUGUCAACCUGGCAGGAUUUAGAGUCACCAUGGAAACAAAUACGAGCCAUGUGAUGGGGUUUCUGGAUUAGGUUAACUGGGCUGGUCUUAAUUGCGAAGGUCUUCCACCUAACCUGUAUGUGAGCAAUACCACCCCGUGGUCUGGAUAAGCAAACCAAGCAACAGCAACCACACCUCUGCUUCCUGACUGGAUGCCAUGUGACCAGCUGCUCAAGCUCCUGCAGCUGUGACCGUAGCCUGAACUGGGGACCCAAAUCAGCUUUAAUUGCAUUAAUUGCUUUCAUCAGGUUCUUUGUCAUGGCAGGACAAGUGACUACUACAACUUCCCCUCGUCCACCUUGCCUCCUGCUCUGUCUACACCUAGCUCUUUUGUUAAUGGUGGUUGCGAUGUCUCGUGUGUCUGUGGAGAGCAACUCGACCAGCUCACGGGUGUCGGGCUCACAUUCAAAGAAAGCUCAACCUUCGUAACAACACAAGCUGUAAUGCCAGCACCAGGGGAUAGAGGCAAGAAGACAAGGCAAGCUUCAGGCCAGCCUGGGCUACCAAAACCAAAAAACAAAAAACCUAACCCAAUUCGUAAAAUCAAAUCAGAUUCAAUCAAGUUACUUAGCAUAUCCAGUACCGGCCUCACCCACCAGCACCACAGGCACCAUUGCUAAGUGUCUGAGCUGACCAGUGCUAAUCACACUGAGCCUUACAGUCUCCACCCAUCUUUAUCCUAAAUGGCAAGUCUGACCCAUUCAGCAUCAGGUUUUCAUUCUCACCCUUUCCCUGAUAACCUUGACUCUCCUCCCACUCUCUGUGACUCAUCUGUCCUACCUACCUCAUGGGAGUGGAGUCAUACAGAGUUUCUUCCUUUGCAGUUGGCUUAUUUUACUGAGCAAAGUGCUUUUAAAGAUUCACCCAUUGAGUACCAGGGGUCGGAAUGCUACUCCUCUUAUGGCUAAGUAAUAUUCCACUGCAUCUCACGCUGUGUGUAUUCACUCAUCCGUCGGUGGAUACUUGGGUUAUGUAGUAUUGACUACUGUGCCUUUCAAUUAAAGAAAAAAAAACAAUCUGUUU